rnacentral:rRNA from 1 species
UACAGAGACUGCAAGCGUAUUGCGGAUUCACUGGGCGUAAAGGGUGCGCAGGCGGCCGUGUGUGUGAGGCGUGAAAGCCCGGGGCUCAACCCCGGAAUUGCACCUCAAACUACAUGGCUAGAGCAUUGGAGAGGGAAGCGGAAUUCACGGUGUAGCAGUGAAAUGCGUAGAGAUCGGGAGGAACACCAGUGGCGAAGGCGGCUCGCUGGGCCGGUCCUGACACUGAGGCGCGAAGGCGUGGGGAGCGAACAGG